GUGCCGGUAGCUUAACGGUAAAGCACCCGUCUUCAUCAGGCUAAGGCUUCCUUAAAACGGGUGAUGCACGUUCAAAUCGUGUCCGGCACGCAA
rnacentral:tRNA from 1 species